rnacentral:rRNA from 1 species
UACGUAGGGGGCAAGCGUUGUCCGGAAUCAUUGGGCGUAAAGCGCGUGUAGGCGGCUCGGUAAGUCUGCUCUGAAAGCCCGGGGCUCAACCCUGGGAGGCGGGUGGAUACUGCUGAGCUCGAGUCCGGAAGAGGCGAGUGGAAUUCCUGGUGUAGCGGUGAAAUGCGCAGAUAUCAGGAGGAACACCAAUGGCGAAGGCAGCUCGCUGGGACGUGACUGACGCUGAGACGCGAAAGCGUGGGGAGCAAACAGG